AUAUAUAUAAUAAUAAUAAUAAUAAUAAUAAUAAGAAUAAAAAGAAUAAUUCACGUGGCUUGCUUGGUGUGGGGUUUUGGUGUGUUGUUACAAAAAAAGGAGAUCAUGUGGGUGAUGAUGGAUACGGGUAGAGAUGGAAUAUGAAAAGAAAGAAAUAUAGUAAAAUAAAAGAAAGUGGAAAAUAAAGAAAAGAAAAGAAAGGAGAGCAUGUGGGUGAUGACUAGUGUCUGUGGAGAGAGAGGGUCAGUGGGAAAGUAAAAGAAUUAGGGAGAUAAUGAAAAGGGGUCUAGGGGAUAGACCACGGAGUUGGAUGGAGAAACUGUGUGUGAGUCUGUGAAACUGUGUGUGAGUAUGGCAAUGGGGUGUGUGUGUGGAGAACCAACCCAAGAGAGAGAAAAAGGUUUUGGAAGAAGACAUUGAGGUACUGUUGCUGGGAUUUGAAGAGGCUGAGGAGGUCGUUUGGGUCGAAGAGGGUUUCUGUGGAAGAGGGGAGUGAGCUCCCUCGGCUGUACGAGGUCGUCGGUCUCCGACACCGUCUUCAGCAGCGGCGGCGAAGGAGUCGCCGGGGUUCCAGGGCAGCCCAGGAAAACCCACUGGACCGCGGGAAGGUGAAGGAGUCUCCGGGGCUCCGGAUCUGAAUUUGCCGGAAAUGGAGUUCAUCAAAUGGAGGUCUGUGUAUUUCCACCCUCGGAUAUAGUGAUGCACUAUCUUUCUCAGAUGAUGUUGCCAAGACAACAAGAACGGGCAAAACACGAAGAAGAAUACGCCGUGCGGGAAACAGAAGUGCAAAAUCCAAGCUGCCAAGAGAAAGGAAUCGACACCUUCCAGCUUGCACUACUGUGUGACGCACCGCGACUUAGCCUCAUUGUCCACCGUUUGAUGCUGAAGAACUUCUAAGCUGUGUCUGCCACUGAAGGAUGGAAUGCCCAGGUGGCUGCACUGCAAGUGAUGAAGCCGCCACCGUGGAAGUAAACAACGAGAGGUAGCUUUGAGGAGGAUGAUGAAGAUGAUGAGGAACUAUGAUCCAGUGCGUCUCGGGGCAGGAAUAGGCGAACCCAAGUGCUGUGAAGUGGGUGUAGAGACAGGUCUUUGGAGAGAUACGGAAAUGGAGGUUUUGCUGGGGCGAGGUAUGUGUAAAAAAACAAAACAAAA